UCAACCUUUAGGAAACUCCUAGGUACAACGCUUAGGGACAAUGACAGAUCUAAUCUUAAAAGUAGAGUGUCUGUUUCGUGGAUCUAAUCUGGGACCUUGUUCCACAAAACAGGGGUUCUGCCUCCCAUUCUACUUUCAAAUACUUCAGGAACCAUGAGUUAGACAGCAGCCCAGGUGUUUCUGCUUUCUGGUUUUGACCCACAUACGGUUGUUAUCUGGGUGACUGUGUUGGAUAUAUGAAGUGUAUAAAGAGAAAACUGUAAGACAAUUGGUCCUUUUGUCUUCUUAAAGGCCUGUAUGUAAAACCACAACAGCUUCUUCCUGUUAUAUUCAGUCUGUUCUUGUAGUCCGAAGCUGAUGAGACUUUUCACCACAGAGAGUUCUGGUUUGGCCAGUGACAGUGUUCAUGUUGUGAGAACUUGUUUGCUUGGUGCUCUGUGGUGAAGUGUGUCAGACUGCACUUAAAGAAGGUGGCAUUUUUGUGGUUGUGCAUGUCCUUCUUCACACAAUCACCUACCAGUUCUCUGCAAUCAUUUCCUGUUUCUCAGCAGAUGUGUAAAGGAGUGGGAAAAAAACUCUAAAAACAUGCUGCUAGUCACAAAAGUGAUGAUUAAUGUCAGUUUAAUGAAAAAUAAAAUAAUAAAAUUAAAAUUGUUUUGCCACAGCUGUAGUGUAAAGUGUGAAAACAGCGCUGUUGCUGUUGCAUCUCUUGUAAUUUGUGUUUCCUUUGUUCUGCAGAAAGUGAUCCAGCUGUAAUUUACUCAGCAGUGAGAACUGAAGAUGUUAGCUAUGGACAAAUAAUCGUCACACGAAAGAUGAAAAGAGACUUUAAACCAGAGCCAGACGUUGUCUACUCUUCACUGAAGUAGUCCACCAGUCCAACCACUGAUGUCCAGCUGCUGUUCUCUAACUGUUCCCCCCAGCAUCUCAGACCAGAGGACAUCCACAUGAUACAAAAAUGUUUUAUGUGUUAACAAAAGCUCCUUUUCCAUUAGUACCUAGUCGGAUGGGUGCAGCAUGUUUUGUCAACGUUUUCAAGGUACUUGUUAAUACCUGCUCUGCCUGGUUUCCAAGAGAACCGAGCAGGUAAUUAAAUAUGACAUUGUCAGACUACUUCCCACUGAUUUUCUGGUUAGUAGCAUCACUCAAUGUGUCACAAUCGCGUCUCGUUCACAAAAAUUUAGGACGUUGAAUUUUUUUAACCCAGCAACAAGAGAAAUGGCUACAAAAACCAAUGCAGUGUUUCCCUAAGUCUGACUAAAAGCUUCAGACCAAGCAGAAGUUAUAUUAUUGCCUCGAUGUUCACCAUUUUUGUAGCGUUCGCCUCCUAUAUAAAGGUAGAGGGAUGCUUGGAUGCGUAUAACAACAACCAUGCACAUUAGAUACUAGCGGAUUGUAAUGGAAAACCAGUCAGUCUGUGGCGAGUCUAUCUGAGUAGGUGCUGUUGGAAAAGGGAUACAUAUUUUUUUUUAAAUGUUCAAAGUAGUUUUUCGCUCUUUUGGACUCUUCUGUUUGUUUUUUGUUUUUUUUCAUAUAUCAUAUUUAACUGACUCGAAAAUCUGCAGGGUUAACAGAAAUAUGUGAAUGUGUUUCAUAGAUAUUUAUAAUAAAAAUAUGAGAUAAAUGCCUUGCUCUUGUUCCCACAGCAAACGUGUUUCUCUGCAGGAUUAAAAACCAUUUGCUCUCUUUCGUUUCUCACGUGGUUCUUUGGGUUUCACCAAGCUGUACGAUGGAAAAUUUGACUUGUUCCGGUUUGGUUGUGGCUAACUGAUGCAGACAUCUUUUAACUGCA